rnacentral:tRNA from 1 species
CAAGAAGUAGUUUAAUUUAAAAUUUUAAUUUUGGAGAUUAAUGAUGAGUGUGAUAUUCUUUCUUGA